AGCUGCUACAUUGGUAGCAGAUCGGGUUCGGUCUAUGGACCUGAUGUUACGGUAUAUGUAACCACAGCCCAGUGUGACCUUUACGCCAUUACAUUUCAUCGUUAGCGGCUCGCCCCGCACAUAUUUUUUCUAUAUUGUCUCUCUCAAACAGUUAGUUCUUGUACAUCUUUUGUGACCUUUUCGCGGUUCCACAAUGACCUUUCGCUGUUCCACAAUGUACUGGGUUCACAGCAUACCCAGUGACUUUUCGGCUAAAUUGCCGUAUACACCGACGCUUCCAAGCUACAUUCCGGAAAAGCCGGUGUUCUACAACACAUUGGUUUGCACCAUACCUAGUGACCUUCGGUUUCCUUACCGUGUACACCGAUGUUUCCAUGUUCAUACCGUGAUCGCAGCACUCACUGCACGGAUACCUAAAGUAUUCCGUGCAGCGGAAGCCCAUAUCUCGAUGCUGGAGCGAUUGAUUGCCAUUGAUUGCCUGGAGCGCAAUGUACGAAUAUUCUUCGCUUAAGAAUUGCCGAGAAUGUUAUUUCUCGGAACGACAAUUGUGUAUGGCCUUAAGCCGUUGCUACCCCAUCUUGUUCCCCACACCUGAUGACGUUAUCACAGUGAAUCCAAUCACCUUAAGAAGAGACAUCUUUAAGCUUAUGCUCAAAAAUACUCAAGAAAGCAGGACUCCUCCAACACAUCCAACUCGUCCUGUAUUUCGACCUUAUGUACCACAUUCACGCAAUACCGGAUCAGAGUUACACGAACAACGAACAAGGGCAACACCCACCACAGCGGAACAUAUACAAAGCUAUGACCAACUUCCCACUACAUCUAGAGAGAAUACCGAAUCACCAGAAUCACCUUCAGCGUCAUCAUCAGACAGCGAUAUUGAGUCAUCGGGGCGAGCUGCUACAUCGCUAAAGGAACUAAAAGGGGGCGGCUAUUCCAGGCCACUCUCGUGCGUGGCUCACAAAGGCGAGGCAACGUUUACGGGCAAAGUCCUCAUGGUGCUAUACAAUCCGCAGGAAUGUUGCUGCAGGGGAACUUGGUUUGAAACAGUUUCCGGAAUUUGCGGAGUGCCUUGGAUGGAUAUGAUUAACACAGCCUUGGCAGAUAAAUGCAUAGUAUUCUGUUGGGCUUGGUUAGGAAGCUAAUGACAAUGUGAUACCAUCCCAACGAUCGCCUACAUAUGGCGCCAGAUAUAGAAUAUAUAUGGCAAUGAAGAUUUCUCAUCGUCUAAUUCGCAUCUGAUUUUUCUUCCUUGAAAAAAACCUGAUGGAUUUUGCGCAGAUUCAGGUCUCCUGAGUGUAUCAGCCAACUGUCGCGUGGCUCAAAGGAAAUUUCCAGUUGGAAGGCCGAUGAAUUUCGAAGCUUCAUGUUGUAUUACCGGUCUGUACUGGAGAAUA